rnacentral:rRNA from 1 species
CCUACGGGAGGCAGCAGUGAGGAAUAUUGGGCAAUGCCCGAAAGGGUGACCCAGCAACGCCGCGUGGAGGAUGAAGUCCUUCUGGACGUAAACUCCUUUUAGAGGGGACGAAAAGCCCGAUUUGUCGGGAAUUGACGGUACCCUCAGAAAAAGCACCGGCUAACUACGUGCCAGCAGCCGCGGUAAUACGUAGUGUGCAAGUGUUGUCCGGAUUCACUGGGUGUAAAGGGUGCGCAGGCGGGCUCUUAAGUCAAAGGGAAAAUCUCUCUGCUUAACCGAGAAAUUGCCUUUGAUACUGAGAGCCUGGAGUACGGGAGAGGGAGAUGAAAUUCCAGGUGUAGGGGUAAAAUGCGAAGAUAUCUGGAGGAACACCGGGGGCGAGGGCGGUCUCCGGGCCCGUUACUGACGCUCAGGCACGAAAGCGGGGGGAGCAAACAGGAUUAGAUCCCCCUGUAGU